rnacentral:rRNA from 1 species
UACGGAGGAUGCAAGCGUUAUCCGGAAUGAUUGGGCGUAAAGGGCUCGCAGGCGGCAGUGUAAGUCUGCUGUCAAAGAAUGAGGCUUAACCUCAUCAAGGCAGUGGAAACUACACAGCUAGAGUACGGUCGGGGUAGAAGGAAUUCCUGGUGUAGCGGUGAAAUGCGUAGAGAUCAGGAAGAACACCGGUGGCGAAAGCGCUCUGCUGGACCUUAACUGACACUGAGGGACGAAAGCUAGGGGAGCGAAUGGG